rnacentral:tRNA from 1 species
GGUGGUGCAGUGGCUAAUGCGUUUGGCUGCUAACCAAAAGGUCAGUGGUUUGAACCCACCAGCCACUC